CAUUCCCUACGGGAGGCAGCAGUGAGGAGUAUUGGUCAAUGGGAGAGAUCCUGAACCAGCCAAGCCGCGUGAGGGAAGACGGCCCUAUGGGUUGUAAACCUCUUUUGUCGGAGAACAAAACCCGGGACGUGUCCCGGACUGCGUGUAUCCGAAGAAAAAGCAUCGGCUAACUCCGUGCCAGCAGCCGCGGUAAUACGGAGGAUGCGAGCGUUAUCCGGAUUUAUUGGGUUUAAAGGGUGCGUAGGCGGCCUGCUAAGUCUGGAGUGAAAGGUACCGGCUCAACCGGUACAGGCUCUGGAAACUGG
rnacentral:rRNA from 1 species